rnacentral:lncRNA from 1 species
AGGCGGCUGCCGUUGCCCUGGUAACUUCACCUGAUCGGGGCUGUAUCUAGGGCUUCUGAUCAUAUGCCUCCAAGUUAAUGUCCACAUCUGAAACAUCAACUCCUCUACUGACUUAACAAAUCAGUGGGUCGUUCUUCAAAGAUGAUGCCCUUUGCUCAAGAAUGAAGGGGGAAGAAGGAGCUCAUGUGUGUGAGGAGGGUGCCAGGAUCUGCGGGAUUCAGACAACACCCUUGUUCCUUGCUAGGAGUAGAGCAAUCCCAAAGUGUGUGGAGGCAAUCGCUUUGUUUUGGUUAGGCAGGAAAGAUUAAAAUGAAAAGGUGGAUAAUGCGGAUGAUGAUGCUCUUCACGCAGGAGGAUGCUCCAGGAGAACUGUCUGCAGGAACGGAAUGGCCUUGUUGCUUUCUCUCUCAGAUAAAAUGUAUAGCAUACAAUUAAAAAUGAUAUGGUACACAAGGAAAUAAAGGAGAGAGAGAGAGAGAGAGAAGAAGGCGAACACCGUCCAGAUACAUAGGUGAUAGAGAUGCUGGAACUCUGCCGGGCAGCAACAGAGGGGACACUGAGUAAAGGUCAGACAGGAGGAGAGUGAGGCUGAAUCCGUAGCUGGAGACACAGGAAGACAACAACGAUGAGCUGUGGCUUGGUGGACAUGGAUGUUGACCUGUGAUGGUCAUCGUCUUCACCACCCUCAUGCCGACCAGAAGAGAGAAGUGUGCGCAGAAGGAAGUACAGAAUGUCAGAGGCAUAAAAGUAAAGACAGAGUCAGAGAAGGAGAGAGGACUUUAAAGGAUGUAGGGACACUUCAUUAUCUAGGAUAAGAUUAUUAACAUCAAAUUUUGAUGCAGGUCCACAAAUAUUAUAAUUUCAAGGGUAAUUAUUGAAUGAGUCACAAAUGCUUAUAAUAGAAGGGAAAAUGAAUAAUUGAAAUAAAAGCAAUUAAGUGUGUAGAGAG